rnacentral:tRNA from 1 species
GCCAAUUUAGCUCAGCUGGUAGAGCAACGCAUUCGUAAUGCGUAGGUCCGGGGUUCGAGUCCCCGAAUUGGCU